AUUGAACGCUGGCGGCAUGCUUUACACAUGCAAGUCGAACGGCAGCGCGGGCUUCGGCCUGGCGGCGAGUGGCGAACGGGUGAGUAAUGCAUCGGAACGUGCCCAGUAGUGGGGGAUAGCCCGGCGAAAGCCGGAUUAGUACCGCAUACGACCUGAGGGUGAAAGCGGGGGACCGAAAGGCCUCGCGCUAUUGGAGCGGCCGAUGUCGGAUUAGCUAGUUGGUGGGGUAAAGGCUUACCAAGGCGACGAUCCGUAGCUGGUCUGAGAGGACGACCAGCCACACUGGGACUGAGACACGGCCCAGACUCCUACGGGAGGCAGCAGUGGGGAAUUUUGGACAAUGGGGGCAACCCUGAUCCAGCCAUGCCGCGUGCGGGAAGAAGGCCUUCGGGUUGUAAACCGCUUUUGUUCGGGAAGAAAUCCUCUGGGCUAAUACCCCGGGGGGAUGACGGUACCGGAAGAAUAAGCACCGGCUAACUACGUG
rnacentral:rRNA from 1 species